rnacentral:miRNA from 1 species
GUUUUAUUAUGGUAGCCAGGUAGCCAGCUGUCUUGCAUAUCAAUAAGUUUAAGUAAAUUGAAGCCGUUUUCAUAUACCUGUAUAACACCAAGUAUUUACAAAUUUCAAAUUCAUUUAAACUUAUUAUUAUGCAAAACGGCUGGCUACCUGGCUACCAUAAUAAAUCU